rnacentral:RNase_P_RNA from 1 species
CGACCCGGAAACAAGCUUGCAGCGACUUUAGUCGCCUGGUGAGGAAAGUCCGGGCUUCACAGGGCAGGGUGCCGGAUAACGUCCGGUGGAGGUGACUCUAAGGCUAGUGCAACAGAAAAGAAACCGCCAAUUUUACGCAAUUUUGCGUAAAAUUUGGUGAGGGU